rnacentral:rRNA from 1 species
AACAGGGAUUGCCCUAGUAACGGCGAGUGAAGCGGCAACAGCUCAAAUUUGAAAUCUGGCCCUAGGCCCGAGUUGUAAUUUGCAGAGGAUGCUUCUGGUGACGUGCCUUCGGAGUCCCCUGGAACGGGGCGCCAUAGAGGGUGAGAGCCCCGUAUCGUUGUGCACCGAGCCUCUGUGUAGCACCUUCGACGAGUCGAGUAGUUUGGGAAUGCUGCUCAAAAUGGGAGGUAAACUUCUUCUAAAGCUAAAUACCGGCCAGAGACCGAUAGCGCACAAGUAGAGUGAUCGAAAGAUGAAAAGCACUUUGAAAAGAGGGUUAAACAGUACGUGAAACAAUUGAAAAGGAAGCACUUGUGACCAGACUUGUGCUGUAUGAAUCAUCUCGCGUUUUCGCGGGUGCACUUUGUACGGUUCAGGCCAGCAUCGGUUUUUCCAGGGGGACAAAAGCUUAGGGAACGUGGCUCUCUCGGGAGUGUUAUAGCCCUUUGCACAAUACCUUUGGAGAGACCGAGGUUCGCGCUCUGCAAGGAUGCUGGCGUAAUGGUCAUCAGUGGCCCGUCUUGAAACACGGACCAAGGAGUCAAGCAUUAGGGCGAGUGUUUGGGUGUAAAACCCGCACGCGUAAUGAAAGUGAACGUAGGUGAGAGCUUCGGCGCAUCAUCGACCGAUCCUGAUGUAUUCGGAUGGAUUUGAGUAAGAGCCUUACCGCUUGGACCCGAAAGAUGGUGAACUAUGCUUGUAUAGGGUGAAGCCAGAGGAAACUCUGGUGGAGGCUCGCAGCGGUUCUGACGUGCAAAUCGAUCGUCAAAUAUGAGCAUGGGGGCGAAAGACUA